rnacentral:rRNA from 1 species
GGUUAAGUGACUAAGCGUACACGGUGGAUGCCUGGGCAGUCAGAGGCGAUGAAGGACGUACUAACUUGCGAUAAGCGCAGAUAAGGCAGUAAGAGCCGUUUGAGUCUGCGAUUUCCGAAUGGGGAAACCCAACUGCAUAAGCAGUUACUGUUAACUGAAUACAUAGGUUAACAGAGCAAACCGGGGGAACUGAAACAUCUAAGUACCCCGAGGAGAAGAAAUCAACCGAGAUUCCGGUAGUAGCGGCGAGCGAACCUGGAUUAGCCCUUAAGCACUCGGUGAAGUAGGUGAACAAGCUGGAAAGCUUGGCGAUACAGGGUGAUAGCCCCGUAACCGACGCUUCAUCGAGCGUGAAAUCGAGUAGGGCGGGACACGUGAUAUCCUGUCUGAAUAUGGGGGGACCAUCCUCCAAGGCUAAAUACUCCUGACUGACCGAUAGUGAACCAGUACCGUGAGGGAAAGGCGAAAAGAACCCCUGUGAGGGGAGUGAAAUAGAACCUGAAACCGUGUACGUACAAGCAGUAGGAGCACCUUCGUGGUGUGACUGCGUACCUUUUGUAUAAUGGGUCAGCGACUUAUAUUCAGUGGCAAGGUUAACCGUAUAGGGGAGCCGUAGCGAA